rnacentral:rRNA from 1 species
UUACUGGGCGUAAAGCGUACGUAGGCGGAUCAGAAAGUAAGGGGUGAAAUCCCAGGGCUCAACCCYGGAACUGCCUCYWAAACUCCUGGUCUUGAGUUCGAGAGAGGUGAGUGGAAUUCCRAGUGUAGAGGUGAAAUUBGUAGAUAUUYGGAGGAACACCAGUGGCGAAGGCGGCUCACUGGCUCGAUACUGACGCUGAGGUACGAAAGUGUGGGGAGCAAACAGGAUUAGAUACCCUGGUAGUCCACACCGUAAACGAUGAAUGCCAGUCGUCGGGCAGUAUACUUUCGGUGACACACCUAACGGA